rnacentral:rRNA from 1 species
GUGGGGAAUCUUGCGCAAUGGGCGAAAGCCUGACGCAGCCAUGCCGCGUGAAUGAUGAAGGUCUUAGGAUUGUAAAAUUCUUUCACCGGGGACGAUAAUGACGGUACCCGGAGAAGAAGCCCCGGCUAACUUCGUGCCAGCAGCCGCGGUAAUACGAAGGGGGCUAGCGUUGCUCGGAAUUACUGGGCGUAAAGGGCGCGUAGGCGGAUCGUUAAGUCAGGGGUGAAAUCCCAGAGCUCAACUCUGGAACUGCCCUUGAUACUGGCGUUCUUGAGUGUGGGAGAGGUAUGUGGAACUCCGAGUGUAGAGGUGAAAUUCGUAGAUAUUCGGAAGACCCCCAGUGGCAAAGGCGACAUACUGGCUCAUUACUGACGCUGAGGCGCGAAAGCGUGGGAGCAAACAGGAUUAGAUACCCCAGUAGUCC